UACGAAGGGGGCUAGCGUUGUUCGGAUUUACUGGGCGUAAAGCGCACGUAGGCGGAUUGUUAAGUCAGGGGUGAAAUCCCGGAGCUCAACUCCGGAACUGCCUUUGAUACUGGCAAUCUUGAGGCUGGAAGAGGUUAGUGGAAUUCCCAGUGUAGAGGUGAAAUUCGUAGAUAUUGGGAAGAACACCAGUGGCGAAGGCGGCUAACUGGUCCAGAUCUGACGCUGAGGUGCGAAAGCGUGGGGAGCAACA
rnacentral:rRNA from 1 species